rnacentral:rRNA from 1 species
UACGAAGGAUGCAAGCGUUAUCCGGAUUCAUUGGGUUUAAAGGGUGCGUAGGCGGGCCAUUAAGUCAGUGGUGAAAGCUCCGAGCUUAACUCGGAAACUGCCAUUGAUACUAUAGGUCUUGAAUUCGGUCGAGGUUGGCGGAAUGUGUCGUGUAGCGGUGAAAUGCUUAGAUAUGACACAGAACACCGAUUGCGAAGGCAGCUAGCUAGACCGACAUUGACGCUGAGGCACGAAAGCGUGGGGAUCAAACAGG